rnacentral:rRNA from 1 species
GAUGAACGCUGGCGGCGUGCCUAAUACAUGCAAGUCGAGCGAACGGACGAGAAGCUUGCUUCUCUGAUGUUAGCGGCGGACGGGUGAGUAACACGUGGAUAACCUACCUAUAAGACUGGGAUAACUUCGGGAAACCGGAGCUAAUACCGGAUAAUAUUUUGAACCGCAUGGUUCAAAAGUGAAAGACGGUCUUGCUGUCACUUAUAGAUGGAUCCGCGCUGCAUUAGCUAGUUGGUAAGGUAACGGCUUACCAAGGCAACGAUGCGUAGCCGACCUGAGAGGGUGAUCGGCCACCCUGGAACUGAGACACGGUCCAGACUCCUACGGGAGGCAGCAGUAGGGAAUCUUCCGCAAUGGGCGAAAGCCUGACGGAGCAACGCCGCGUGAGUGAUGAAGGUCUUCGGAUCGUAAAACUCUGUUAUUAGGGAAGAACAUAUGUGUAAGUAACUGUGCACAUCUUGACGGUACCUAAUCAGAAAGCCACGGCUAACUACGUG